GGUUCUGACGCCGUCACGGCCGGAGCAAAAGUAUUAAGUAGACCGCCUGGGGAGUACGGUCGCAAGGCUAAAACUCAAAGGAAUUGACGGGGGCUCACACAGGCGGUGGAGCAUGUGGCUUAAUUCGAAGCAACGCGAAGAACCUUAUCCUGGGUUUGACAUGCAAGGAUGCCCAUCCUGAAAGGGAGUAGGCUGCCUUCGGGUGAAACUUGCACAGGUGCUGCAUGGCUGUCGUCAGCUCGUGUCGUGAGAUGUUGGGUUAAGUCCCGUAACGAGCGAAACCCUUAUCGUUAGUUGCCAGCGCGUAAUGGCGGGAACUCUAGCGAGACUGCCGGUGUUAAACCGGAGGAAGGUGGGGAUGACGUCAAGUCCUCAUGGCCUUUAUGCCCAGGGCUGCACACGUGCUACAAUGGUACGGACAAACCGAAGCGAUACCGCGAGGUGGAGCAAAUCGGAAAAACCGUGUCUCAGUUCGGAUUGUAGGCUGCAACUCGCCUACAUGAAGUUGGAAUCGCUAGUAAUCGCGGAUCAGCUAUGCCGCGGUGAAUAUGUUCCUGAGCCUUGUACACACCGCCCGUCAAGUCACGGAAGCUGGAAGCACUUGAAGUCGGGUAGCUAACUCUUCGGAGAGGCGCCUGCCGAUGGUGAGUUCGGUGACUGGGGCUAAGUCGUAACAAGGUAGCCG
rnacentral:rRNA from 1 species